UGGAGUGCGGCAGCUACCAUGCAGUCGAACGAUGGAACCUCACUUCGGGAGGGGAUUAGUGGCGAAGGGUGCAGUAAUAUUGUGGGCAUCUGCCCUGCACUCUGGGACAAGCCCUGGAUACGGGGUCUAAUACCGGAUACUGACCCGCUUGGGCAUCCGAGCGGGUCGAACGCUCCGGCGGUGCAAGAUGAGCCCGCGGCCUAUCAUCUUGUUGGUGAGGUAAUGGCUCACCAGGGCCACCACGGGUAGCCGGCCUGAGAGGGCGACCGGCCACACUGGGACUGAGACACGGCCCACACUCCUACGGGAGGCAGCAGUGGGGAAUAUUGCACAGUGGGCGAAAGCCUGAUGCAGCGACCCCGCGUGAGGGAUGACGGCCUUCGGGUUGUAAACCUCUUUCAGCAGGGAAGAAGCGAAUGUGACGGUACCUGCAGAAGAAGCGCCGGCUAACUACGUGCCAGCAGCCGCGGUAAUACGUAGGGCGCGAGCGUUGUCCGGAAUUAUUGGGCGUAAAGAGCUCGUACGCGGCUUGUCACGUCGGUUGUGAAAGCCCGGGGCUUAACCCCGGGUCUGCACUCGAUACGGGCAGGCUAGAGUUCGGUAGGGGAUAUCGGAAUUCCUGGUGUAGCGGUGAAGUGCGCAUAUAUCAAGAGGAACACCGGUGGCAAACGCAGAUCUCUGGGCCGAUACUGACUCUAAAGAGCGAAGCGUGGGGAGCGAACAAGAUUAGAUCCCUGGUACUCCACGCCAUAACGGUGGCACUAUGUGUGCGCGAUUUCCACGUCGUCCGUGCCGCAUCUACGCAUUUGUGCCCCCCUGGGAAUACGCCGCAGGCUAAACUCAAGGAUUGACGGGGCCCGCAAAGCGGCAGACAUGUGGCUUAUUCGACGCACGCGAAAAUCUUACAAGGCUUGACAUACACCGGACAGUCCAGAGAUGGCGCCCCUUGUGUCGUGUCAGGUGUGCAGGCUGUCUCACUCGUGCGUGAAUGUGGGUUACU
rnacentral:rRNA from 1 species